rnacentral:rRNA from 1 species
CCUACGGGUGGCUGCAGUGGGGAAUAUUGGACAAUGGGCGAAAGCCUGAUCCAGCCAUGCCGCGUGUGUGAAGAAGGCCUUCGGGUUGUAAAGCACUUUCAGUGGGGAAGAAAGCCUUGGGGCUAAUACCCUCGAGGAAGGACAUCACCCACAGAAGAAGCACCGGCUAACUCCGUGCCAGCAGCCGCGGUAAUACGGAGGGCGCGAGCGUUAAUCGGAAUUACUGGGCGUAAAGCGCACGUAGGCGGUCUGAUAAGCCGGUUGUGAAAGCCCCGGGCUCAACCUGGGAACGGCAUCCGGAACUGUCAGGCUAGAGUGCAGGAGAGGAAGGUAGAAUUCCCGGUGUAGCGGUGAAAUGCGUAGAGAUCGGGAGGAAUACCAGUGGCGAAGGCGGCCUUCUGGACUGACACUGACGCUGAGGUGCGAAAGCGUGGGUAGCAAACAGGAUUAGAUACCCCUGUAGUC